AACGCACAUUGCACUCCUUGGUAUUCCGAGGAGUAUGCCUGUUUCAGUAUCAUGAGCACUCUCACACCUAACCUUUGGGUUAUGAUGUGGAAUUGGGAUGCGCCGAUUUUUACUAGUCGGCACUCCUAAAAUGUAGCUCUUGGCUGUUUCCUACUACAGCAGUUUGGCCUAAUAGUUUUGACUUUUGUCAAAUCUUUGGCUACAUUUGCUUCUGGAAAUCAGUCUUGAUAAUACAGAAAACUCAUUCAAACUUUGAUCUGAAAUCAGGUAGGGCUACCCGCUGAACUUAA
rnacentral:misc_RNA from 1 species